AUUGGGCUUGGGAGGUGCUUGU
rnacentral:miRNA from 1 species